UUUGGGCGUGUCUCCCUUCUCGGGAGACUCUCUCAACCCCCACGAACCCUUGACCUCAAAUCGGGUGAGACUACCCGCUGAACUUAAGCAUAUCAAUAAGCGGAGGAAAAGAGAACUAACAAGGAUUCCCCUAGUAACUGCGAGUGAAUGCGGGAAAAGCUCAAAUUUAAAAUCUGGCGGUCUGUGGCCGUCCGAGUUGUAAUUNAGAGAAGCNGCUUCC
rnacentral:rRNA from 1 species